GAACCGGGAGGCGUUUUUAACUCGGAAGCUUGCUUUUGAUGGGCGUCGACUGGCACACGGGUGAGUAUCUCGUAUCCGACCUGCCCACCACUUGGGGAUAACCUUGCGAAAGUAAGACUAAUACCCAAUGAUAUCUCUAGAAGACAUCUGAAAGAGAUUAAAGAUUUAUCGGUGAUGGAUGGGGAUGCGUCUGAUUAGCUUGUUGGCGGGGUAACGGCCCACCAAGGCAACGAUCAGUAGGGGUUCUGAGAGGAAGGUCCCCCACAUUGGAACUGAGACACGGUCCAAACUCCUACGGGAGGCAGCAGUGAGGAAUAUUGGUCAAUGGACGAGAGUCUGAACCAGCCAAGUAGCGUGCAGGAUGACGGCCCUAUGGGUUGUAAACUGCUUUUAUAAGGGAAUAAAGUGAGUCUCGUGAGACUUUUUGCAUGUACCUUAUGAAUAAGGACCGGCUAAUUCCGUGCCAGCAGCCGCGGUAAUACGGAAGGUCCGGGCGUUAUCCGGAUUUAUUG
rnacentral:rRNA from 1 species